UGUGUAGAGGGGAGUGAGGGUACCACGCACUAUCGGGUAACCUUUUCUACUCUCACAGU
ensembl:miRNA mdo-mir-7398j mdo-mir-7398j